rnacentral:piRNA from 1 species
UGAUGUUAAUGGAACUUUAGAGGUCACCUC